UUACUUAACAUACACAUGCAAGUAUCCGCCCCCCUGUGAAAACGCCCUUUUAACCCCUCCAAGGGACAAGGAGCCGGUAUCAGGCACGAUUAUCUGCCCAACACACCUAGCCAUGCCACACCCACAAGGGAAUUCAGCAGUGAUUAACAUUAUUUAUAAGCGUAAGCUUGAUUUAGUUAAAGUAAAUUAGGGCCGGCUAAUCUGGUGCCAGCCGCCGCGGUUACACCAUGUGGCCCGAAUUGACUAUCCUCGGCGUAAAGCGUGAUUAAAGUUUUCCCCACAUUAGAAUCGAACUAAAACUAAGCCGUAACACGCUUGUUAAUUAAGAAGACCAAACACGAAAGUUAAUCUAACCAAAACAACUUGAAUUCACGAUAGCUGAGAAACAAACUGGGUUCUUCACCUAUAUCGCCAGGGAACUACGAGCCAAGCUUAAAACCCAAAGGACUUGACGGUACCCCAUAUCCACCUAGAGGAGCCUGUCCUAUAAUCGACACCCCACGUUUAACCUCACCAUUUCUAGUUUUCCAGCUUGUAUACCUCCGUCGUCAGCUUACCACGUGAGCGACUGUUAGUGAGCUUAAUGUUAUUACACCAGAACGUCAGGUCAAGGUGCAGCAAAUGAAAUGGGAAGAGAUGGGCUACACUCUCUACCUUAGAGAAAACGAAAAACUACCUAUGAAACCUAGUUAGAAGGCGGAUUUAGCAGUAAAAAGGAAUCAGCAUAUCCAUUUUAACCCGGCACUGGGGUGUGUACACACCGCCCGUCACCCUCCUCAAGACUUUUAACUACAGUUUUUAACAAAUUAUAAAUCUACAGAAGAGGCAAGUCGUAACAUGGUAAGCAUACCGGAAGGUGUGCUUGGAGACGUUAUAUAGCUUAAUUAAAGCAUCUCGCUUACAC
rnacentral:ncRNA from 1 species